rnacentral:lncRNA from 1 species
GAACAUCAAAGUAGCUUUUAUAAGCAUGCCUUAGAGAAAAAAACAUUACUGAUGUGCAUCUUGAGACAAAACCAUGGCACUGACAUAUUAUUUGUUUUGUUUUUAAUGCCCAAUAGUUGCCAGAUGCUGUCCUGCCGGACAUUAUUCUUCACAUGGUCCUGAAGGAGGGUGAUGCUGCAUUAUUAAAUCUGUCUUUGGUUUGUUCCAAAUUCAGAAGUCUGGUGUAUACAGAAUCAUUUCGAAAGAAGGCACACUUCUGCUGGCUUGACAGUAUGUAUUUUUUUUUUUUACAUAUUUGAUUAGAGGUUUAAAAUGGUGCCAUACCAUUCAAUUUCUCAGUUGCCAUGUCUGAAUGUUUAUCUUUGUAAUAAUGCUGUUUUUAUGCUCCUCAUCUCAAUAUACAGGUGUAACAAAAUGGAGAACAAGUCUGAGCCACGCUAAUAAUAUAUAUAUAUAUAUAUAUAUAUAUAUAUAUAUUUGAUUAGAGGUUUAAAAUUGUGACAUACCAUUCAAUUUCUCAGUUGCCAUGUCUGAAUGUUUAUCUUUGUAAUAAUGCUGUUUUUAAUAGCUCCUCAUUUCAAUAUACAGGUGUAACAAAAUGGAGAGCCAGGAAUUCUUCAAAAUGUACACACUGCAGCCCUGCGAUGAGGUUUACAAGAACUGCUUACCAGGUCACUGUAGCCACCAGAUCCAGUCUGUAUCCAAGUCAGAGGGUCACUGCAGUCACCCGGAUCCAGUACGUAUCCAGCCCAGAUGGUGGAUCAGCACCUAGAAAGGACCUCUACAGCCCUGAAAGACAGCAGAGACCAGGACAGAGCCCCAGAGACAGAUCCCCUGUAAAGACCUUGUCUCAGACGACCACCGGCACAAGACCACAGGAAACAGAUGAUUCUUCUGCACAAUCUGACUUUGCUGCAUCCUGGAAUUGAACUGCUGGUUUCGUCUGGUCAGAGGAGAACUGGCCCCCUUGACUGAGCCUGGUUUCUCCUAAGGUUUUUUUCUCCAUUCUGUCACUGAUGGAGUUUUGGUUCCUUGCCACUGUCGCCUCUGGCUUGCUUAGUUGGGGACACUUCAUUUACAGUGAUAUCGUUGACUUGAUUGCAAAUUAUUGCACAGUUACUAUUUAAACUGAACUGAGCUGCAUGAUGACAUCACUGAAUUCAAUGAUUUACAUUUACAUUUAAUCAUUUAGCAGACGCUUUUAUCCAAAGCGACUUACAAAUGAGAACAGUAGAAACAAUCAGAUCAACGAGAACAACAACGGUAUACAAGUGCUAUGACAAGUCUCAGUUAGUCUAGUACAGAACACGUAGCCGUUUAGGGUUUUUUUUUUUUGUGAAUGUGAUAGAAAAGAAAAAAAGGUACACAAUGAUGAACUGCCUUUAACUGAAAAUUGAGUGUUUACUAUUGUCCUUCUGCAUUAUUGACACACUAUUUUCCUAUUUAAUACAGUUGCUUUGACACAAUCUGUUUUAUUAAAUGCACUAUAUAAAUAAAGGAGACUUGACUUGACUAUGUUGGAAGAGGAAAACGAGGAGAGAUGCACACCCAUCCAGGGUUUUGCAGUGAUUGGUGCAAGAUGCUGGAGGAGUAACUCUGUAUAACUCAUCAGUUCCAAUCUGAGAGUCUUGUAAAUACCUCAGGAUUGUUGUUAGUGAUUCUGAUUGAUAUAUCCAUCUGCUUGCUUAUUGGAUGUAUUUUAUACUGUUUACAUUGUAUAGCACUGACUUUGACAACAUACCAAGCCUGUUACAAAUUUAACAGCUACGUUAUAC